rnacentral:rRNA from 1 species
GGGCCGCGGUAUAUUGACCGUGCAAAGGUAGCAUAAUCAUUAGUCUUAUAAUUGAAGACUGGAAUGAAGGGGAGGACGAGGUGCAAGCUGUCUUUAUUAGGAUUUAGAAUUUCACUUUUUAGUGAAAAGGCUAAAAUAGAAUUAGAGGACGAGAAGACCCUAUAGAACUUUAUAAGAAACUUAUAAAUCUUUUAGGAAAGGUUGAAGAUAUAAUAAGGGCCUUAUUUUGUUGGGGUGACAGGGCAAUAAUAUAACUUGCUUUUUACUCUACACUGAUAGGUGAAACUAUGAACCAUAUAUAAUGAUUAAAAAAUUAAGUUACCUUAGGGAUAACAGCGUAAUCUUCUUUGAGAGCUCAUAUCGAUAAGAAGGGUUGCGACCUCGAUGUUGGAUUAAAGGUAAUUUUAGGUGUAGAAGCUUGG